UGGUUUUCUUAAUGUCAGUUAGUACUGUUUUUGCUGGUAUUUUCUUUUUUUGUCUAUAACACAAUUUACCCAGUGAUUCCGUAUCUUUGUGAUCCUGUACUUACUGUUAUUAUGAUUAUUAAUAUUAUUAUUUUAAAUAAUGUCUAUAAUCUUACUAUGUAUUAAGUAUAACCACUUUUAAUUUUACUUUUGUCAUAAUAUACUUUAAACAGUACUUUAGAUAUACAUUUGUGUAAACAUUAUGUAGCCUAUUGUACAUUGUGAUUUUUACGCCAAAAUGUUUGUAACGUAACGUCAUCUUUUAUGACGUCAUAUAUUCAUGACGUUGUUUAUUUCAUAUCAUAUUUGUUUACUUCCUGAAGAAGACUAAUAAAAAUAGUCGAAACGUUGAAUGAAAAUGGAGUUAGCUUUGUAAUUCUCCUGUACUCAACGUAAAGUUUCCAACUAUUCAAAAGUACCACACAAAGUUACAUGAAGAAUAUUGAAAUUUUAUGUUAUUUCCUAUAAGAAGAACGUUGAAUAGGGGCUUUUGGAAAGUACCAGCAAAGACCAAGUGGCUGCUUGUGCAGGCAAAAAAUCGUAUAAAAUGAAUGUCAAAAUGCGACAGUGUUACGAAUGUUUGCAAACGACAGUCAAGUUUUGUUUUGAACAAUAAAACAUAUGAAGGAAUUAUGGAAUUCUCAUGGGAUAGUUUACAUCAGAACCUCUCAAUUGGAGCACCUAACAGUUUGCGCAUAGUAUCAUCCAUGGUAACCAGCAACAUCCCAAUGGCAGUAGCAAGCAAGGAAUUUCACCAGUGUCCAUUUUUGCAGUAGAGCUACCUCACUGGAAUAUCAAGACGUACACACGCAACAUGUUACCCCAUCCAGUCACAUAAUACUGACACCGGGAUGACCUCUGAUUCAUGUAGGGAAGUUGGCAGUUACUUGAGGAGAACAGGUUUGUACUGAUACAGAAUCCAGGAACACUUGAUAUGUU
rnacentral:lncRNA from 1 species